GAUCCUGGCUCAGGAUGAACGCUAGCUACAGGCUUAACACAUGCAAGUCGAGGGGCAGCAUGGUCUUAGCUUGCUAAGGCUGAUGGCGACCGGCGCACGGGUGAGUAACACGUAUCCAACCUGCCGUCUACUCUUGGCCAGCCUUCUGAAAGGAAGAUUAAUCCAGGAUGGGAUCAUGAGUUCACAUGUCCGCAUGAUUAAAGUGUUCGUUUCGGAGA
rnacentral:rRNA from 1 species